UACGGAGGAUGCAAGCGUUAUCCGGAUUUAUUGGGUUUAAAGGGUGCGUAGGCGGAAUAAUAAGUCAGAGGUGAAAUAUUGCAGCUUAACUGUAAAACUGCCUUUGAUACUGUUGUUCUUGAGUCCAGUUGAGGUGGGCGGAAUGUGUAAUGUAGCGGUGAAAUGCUUAGAUAUUACACAGAACACCGAUUGCGUAGGCAGCUCACUAAACUGUCACUGACGCUGAGGCACGAAAGCGUGGGGAUCAAACAGG
rnacentral:rRNA from 1 species